rnacentral:lncRNA from 1 species
ACACGAAAUGCAGUAUAUAACCUACAAUGGCCUUCAAAUGGAGGACGCCUCCUGGUGGCUGAAUUUGUUGACCCUCAAGAAGUCAAAAUGCGGGUGGAGGCUCCUCAGGCUCCGGCUGCUCCUGUCAAUGUUGGUCCUACUGUUCCUCCUUCACCACCUGCCAAGCAGCCUCAGCCUCCCCCUCGUAAGCAGGUUACACGGCAGCAGCUUCCACCCCCACCCCCUCUUCCACCUCCACCACCUUUGUCAAACCCACCCCAAACUAGGGAGCGGCUUCCUCUUCCACCUCCACCUCCACUACCUGAAAAAGUUGACCCUCCCAUCGUAACACUGGAUGAUCUAUUUCAGAAAACUAAAGCAACUCCUCGAAUCUACUACCUACCCUUGUCUGAAGAACAAGUUGCUGCAAAACUUAAGGCACAGGGCAAAAACAC